rnacentral:sRNA from 1 species
GUCGUGAGAUGUUGGGUUAAGUCCCGCAACGAGCGCAACCCCUGUUCUUAGUUGCCAGCGCGUAAUGGCGGGGACUCUAGGAAGACUGCCGGUGCCAAACCGGAGGAAGGUGGGGACGACGUCAAGUCAUCAUGGUCCUUACGUCUAGGGCUACACACGUGCUACAAUGGGCGGGACAGAGGGGGCCGAGGCAGCAAUGCCAAGGCAAUCCCAAAACCCGUCCUCAGUUCGGAUUGUCGUCUGCAACUCGACGGCAUGAAGCUGGAAUCGCUAGUAAUCGUGGAUCAACAUCGCCACGGUGAAUACGUUCCCGGGCCUUGUACACACCGCCCGUCACGCCAUGGAAGUGGUGAGCGCCCGAAGUCCGUGUCGGAACCCGCAAGGGGCCAAGCGGCCGAAGGCGAGCAUCAUGACUGGGGCGAAGUCGUAACAAGGUAGCCGUAGGGGAACCUGCGGCUGGAUCACCUCCUUAACGGAGCUGCGAGUAAGGCAGAACAAGCCCGGGCAACCAGGAGUUACUUUGCCGGAAAGCACUCACGUGUCGCUCGUCUCGUAACAUCCAGAUCUCAACUCUCGAUUUCCAUAUAUAAAUCGAGCCCGACUCAUAAACCGCGCAAGCGGAGUGUGAAUUCGAAGCUCGAAAGAAGUAGAAGGACUUGAGGCUAAGUCCUUAUGCACCAAGCGACAGAGCGCUUAUAUCUCGAAAGUUUUUUGACAAUGGAAGGUAGUAGUGAUCGUGGGAUUUGAGUACCGGGAUUUGAUAAGAUCCUGGUACUGAGAAUCAACACUAGUGACACAAUUUCAUGCGAAGCUCUGACCUAACGGUUGGGGCUCGAUUUGUCUCAAAGAGCUUUUUCAGCUCAGAGAGUCCAAAGAUUGUAUCACUCGUUAGAUCGUGCGUGUUUCUGUUUGAACAAGUUAUUUGAUCAAGCGAAAGAAAGUAUGUGGGGGAUGCCUAGGUACACAGAGGCGAUGAAGGCCGUGGUAAGCUGCGAUAAGCCAAGUUGAGCGGCACACACGCUAUGACACUUGGAUUG